rnacentral:rRNA from 1 species
UACGGGGGGGGCAAGCGUUGUUCGGAAUUACUGGGCGUAAAGGGCUCGUAGGUGGCCAACUAAGUCAGACGUGAAAUCCCUCGGCUUAACCGGGGAACUGCGUCCGAUACUGGAUGGCUUGAGUUUGGGAGAGGGAUGCGGAAUUCCAGGUGUAGCGGUGAAAUGCGUAGAUAUCAGGAAGAACACCCGUGGCGAAGGCGGCUCUCUGGGACGGUACUGACGCUGAGGCGCGAAAGCCAGGGGGGCAAACGGG